ensembl:lncRNA
GUGGUGUGGAGUGUGUGGAGAGGACUGGUGGAGGAGGAGGUGGUGUGGAGUAUGUGGAGAGGACUGGUGGAGGAGGAGGUGGUGUGGAGUAUGUGGAGGGGACUGGUGGAGGAGGAGGUGGUGUGGAGCGUGUGGAGAUGACUGGUGGAGGAGGAGGAUGGAGCAGAGGGAGAUGAAGGAGCACACGGGGGUUUUCGGGUGUCUAAGUGCUGCGGUUUCUGUGGCGCAUCAAGUUUACGCACCUGAGGACGCGGAACACUGGAUUUGGAAUCCAGCUGAGGCGCAGAACUGCUUCAUGGCGUGUGCUCAGGAGUUCGUUUGAUUGCUCGUUAAGUGUCAAUUACAGAUAAAUAAAUAUGCAUUAAUUAAUAAAUAAGCAACUAUUAAAAAAAGAAGAAGAAAUAAAAAUGUCACAAAAGGCAUUAUGCUUAUAAAUCCUGUAGCUGGAUCUAUCUAUCUAUCUCUCUGUCUAUCUAUCUAUCUA